rnacentral:rRNA from 1 species
CCCUUAGAUGUUCUGGGCCGCACGCGUGCUACACUGAGUGGAUCAGCGGGUCAGGUUGCGCGAAAGUGUUUCCUAAUCUUUAAAUCCGCUCGUGAUGGGGAUUGACGGUUGCAAUUUUCCGUCAUGAACGAGGAAUACCUUGUAAGCGCGGGUCAUCAUCCCGCGCUGAAUACGUCCCUGCCCUUUGUACACACCGCCCGUCGCUCCUACCGAUUGAAUGAUCCGAUGAAUACCAUGGAUUGAGAGUUCAAAUAGGUUCGCCUAUUUUGCUUCUCGAGAAGUGGAGUAAAUCUUAUCAUUUAGAGGAAGGAGAAGUCGUAACA